UGAAAAAUACAAUUGAACCCAUUUCAACCUAGCUCACUCUCAACCUAGCUCCUGAUCCCUAAUCUCGCCGUCGUACUCUCAACCUCACGCCUCCCUCAUCAAUCGAAACAAAAAUAGGUCUGAAAUCACUGCCUGAUGAGAUGCGCGAUCUCUCGUCUUUACAAAUACUGGAGAUUAGGCGUUGUCCCGAGUUACAAAGAAGAUGCGAAAAGGAAACCGGUCAGGAUUGGGACAAGAUUGCACAUAUCACUGAGGUUUAUAUAGUGGGUGAACCUAUGGAGUGGCAGUAUGCCCCGCCUGAAUGCUUUUAGGAUUUUGGAUGGUGAAGUACGAAAGGUACUUGGCUGCACUCUCUAUAAUCAAAGGUUAUUGAAUAUUUUGAAUAAAAUUUCAUUCCAUAUAUUUGAUUCACACAUUAAGGACCCAAAAGGAAAAAAGUAAUUAAAAUGAAAGAUGCAUAUAUCCCUAUUUCCUUCAAUAAACUUUGAAUAGCUGGAAGAGGGUUAUUCAAAUGUGAAUUCCUUUCCUCUUCUUCUUUGUUUUUCUUGUAUUAUGAUGAUUUCUCACUUGGUUUGAUCCUAGAUGCAGAACAAAUUGGGAGCACAAAACAAGACUAGGCGUAAAUAUCUGAGCCUAUUCAAAACCUUUAUAAAGAACAUUUUUUCUUUAUUAUGAUCUUAUUUUCUACCGUAGUUUAAUGGUCUACAGCUUAACAUCAAUUUUUUUCCUGUGGCUGGAAGCAUACACAGUUUUAGUGGAAUUUCUUUGUACAUUGUGUUAUGUUCCCAUUGCUUGCUGUUACAAACUUGGGAAAAAGAUUUUUUUGGCCAUUUUGUCUCACAUCUUAUUUCCAAUUUGCUUCAAAGUCUUUACAUGAAAAAUGCCUUGCCCAAGCGACACCCGUGAGAAGCAGGUACAACUUUGGAAGGAUCUUAUUCUUGACUAUUGUAGAACACAAAAGAUAUUUGUGAUUGGACUGGAAGAAGAUUUUUUGCUAUUUUCAAAUCCUGUGAUUGAAAGUUUACUUCGACCAAGCCAAUUAAAUCUCAACCUGGUCAAGCAUGCGUUUAAUUAAAUAAAAUGAAAAAUUGAAGAAUCAAUUGCCUUGUUCUACAUUGCUACUCUGAAUCGAAGAACAAGGACCAACAAACCGUGGUGAUCAUAUCAGGUUCAGUAGUUUUUGGGGUUCUUCUGUUGGUAUAUAUCAAUAAGCUGGUUGUUGAUUUGGAAAAGUACCUUCCACAGAAGCAACGGUAAGUACAUGAACACUUCUUUUAUUCUCUAUGUCCUCUAAUUGUAAAAAUUUUAAAAAGUUAAAACUCGUCAUUGUGUCCAAACAUGAAAUUUAAACUGUCAAUUAAUAUAGUCCAAACCUGAAAUUUAAA